CAUCAGCAUCAAAUGCCAGGGCCCAGAAGAGCACUGAAACCUGCGGAGAGGUUCCAUCCUCAGAUCAUAGAAGCCAACUGCAGUGCCAACUCUGAUGAUUUUAUCACAAAGUCUCAUUAGAUUUGCCUUAAUGCCCUAGCUCUUGGAGGCAGGAAUCCCCACCAAUCCAGCAAGCACUCCCAGCACACCCUGCUCCUCCUCACUGCUCCCAGAGUCCAGAAACCAGCAGGGCAAAGCCAGGACUCAUCAGGCUGCGGUGGAGCUGGGCAAGCAAAUGAGGCAGGUCAGAUGCUGUAAAUGGAAGCAGGCAGCGUUGGGCCCUUGGAAAGGAGGGUGAGGAUCAGUGCAAUUCACUGAGAAUGAUGUUCAAAUCAAUGCUGACAUCUCGCACGUGGAAACAGGUGAGCAGCACUAGCCUGCAUAAAAGCAGCAUGGCCAGGAGAGACCAAACGAUCAGCGCACUGUGCAUUGGAGAGAUGCCUCCUGCUAAUGGGGCCCAACCACCGUUCAUUGAGCCAUGAGAAAAAGAGGCAUGAAAGCGAGCGUUAAACAGGGAAUCGCUGUGAAAAGCAACUUACUAUAAUGCUGGCCUCUGUGAUGGAUAUUAACAACUUAACGAGCUGUUAAUUAGAUGUAUUCUGCCUCUCUGCCUCAUGGCAGGAAACUGAGCUAAUAAUUACAAAGUGCGCCAUACCCAAGAGAAAUCCGCAGGGAAACCACCCACAAUACAGUGCAGGAUAAACUGGAGGCUGCAGUUAGAGCAGGUCUUCAACAUUUCCAAAUUUGUUUUCAUUCUGAAUAGGAACAAAACAGAGAUUUUCAAAGCUUCCCA